GCUGAGUCCAAAAAGAGAGUCAGUGAAGGGAGAUAGGGGUGGGGCAAUUUUAUAGGAUUUGGGUAGGUAAAGGAAAAAGGGGGGUUGUUCUCUGGCAGGCAGGAGUGGGGGCCACAAGGUGCUCAGUAGGGGAGCUUUGGAGCCAGGAUGAGCAAGGAGAAGGAAUUUCACAAGGUAAUGUCAUCAGUUAAGGCAGGAACCGGCCAUCUGGAUAUGUACAUGCAGGUCACAGGAGAUAAUGAUGGCUUAGCUUGGGCUCAGAGGACUGACACUCUUCCUCCAGAGGAGGAGACCCAGACAGAAGAGGAGGAGGCAAGGUGAUCACAGAGGCAGAGAUUGGAUCAUGCAGCCACAAGUUGAGGAAUUCUAGUAGCCUCUACAAGCUGGAAGACGCAAGGAAUGGAUUCUCCCCUAGAACCUCUGAAGGAGCAUUCUCCUGCUGACAUUUGAUUGAUUUUGGACUUCUGGCCUCCAGACAAUUAAUUUUUUUUUUUUUUCUUUUUUUUUUUCAGACAGAGGCUUGCUCUGUUGCCCAGUCUGGAGUGCAGUGGCAUGAUCUCAGUUCACUGCAACCUCCACCUCCCAGGCUCAAGCCAUUCUCUUGCCUCAGCCUCCCAAGAAGUGGGGACUACAGGUGCCUGCCACCAUGCAUGGCUAAUUUUUGUAUUUUUAGUAGAGACGAGGUUUUGGCAUAUUGGCCAGGCUGGUCUCGAAUUCCUGGCCUCAAGUGAUUCACCCAACUCAGCCUCCCAAAGUCCUGAGAUUACUUAGGUGUGAGCCACGGCACCUGACACAGACAUUGUUUGAAGCCACCCAUUUCAUGGUUCUUUGCUGCAGUGGUUGUGGAAUAUGAAUGCACUCGUGCUGUUGGUUAGACUUUGCUGACCUUGUGUCUGUUAUUCCCUGGCAGUUCUACAAGGCCUGGAGCUGAUAGGAAAAACCUCCCUUCUUUCCCAAAUGGUCCCCAGCUGCCCCGUUCACUGAAGGCCCUGCAGUCAGGAACGGUCAGGACUUCACACCCAGUUGUUGUGGGUGUUUGGCCGACACGACACUUCCUCUUGUGUGAUUCAUGGACCCGCAGCAUUGCGUCACCUGGGAGCUUUUGGUAUUGAAGACUCUCAGGGCUCACCCGGAAGGACCUGCUGGGCCAGAAUCUACAUUUUAACAAGAUGCCCAGAAACUCCUGGAGGGCAGAGGCAUGCCUGCCAUCUUCAUCAUUGCAUUACCACCACCCAACACUAUCGGGGGACCUGCCCUGAUAAUCAGAAAUGCAUAGGAAUAUGCUGGUGCCUGAAUGUACCAUCC
rnacentral:lncRNA from 1 species